UCCGGCUUAGCACCGGCAGUCCCUUUAGAGUGCCCAACUUAAUGAUGGCAACUAAAGGCGAGGGUUGCGCUCGUUGCGGGACUUAACCCAACAUCUCACGACACGAGCUGACGACAGCCAUGCAGCACCUGUGUCCAGGUUCCCUUUCGGGCACCCCUCCAUCUCUGGAGGGUUCCUGGCAUGUCAAGGGUAGGUAAGGUUUUUCGCGUUGCAUCGAAUUAAUCCACAUAAUCCACCGCUUGUGCGGGUCCCCGUCAAUUCCUUUGAGUUUUACCCUUGCGAGCGUACUCCCCAGGUGGGAUGCUUAACGCGUUAGCUGAGGCACUAAGGGAUUUAACUCCCCCAACAACUAGUCAUCAUCGUUUAGGGCGUGGACUAC
rnacentral:misc_RNA from 1 species